rnacentral:rRNA from 1 species
GACGAACGCUGGCGGCGUGCUUAACACAUGCAAGUCGAACGAAGAGCGAUGGAAGCUUGCUUCUAUCAAUCUUAGUGGCGAACGGGUGAGUAACGCGUAAUCAACCUGCCCUUCAGAGGGGGACAACAGUUGGAAACGACUGCUAAUACCGCAUACGAUCCAAUCUCGGCAUCGGGACUGGAUGAAAGGUGGCCUCUAUUUAUAAGCUAUCACUGAAGGAGGGGAUUGCGUCUGAUUAGCUAGUUGGAGGGGUAACGGCCCACCAAGGCGAUGAUCAGUAGCCGGUCUGAGAGGAUGAACGGCCACAUUGGGACUGAGACACGGCCCAGACUCCUACGGGAGGCAGCAGUGGGGAAUCUUCCGCAAUGGACGAAAGUCUGACGGAGCAACGCCGCGUGAGUGAUGACGGCCUUCGGGUUGCAAAGCUCUGUUAAUCGGGACGAAUGGUUCUUGUGCGAAUAGUGCGAGGAUUUGACGGUACCGGAAUAGAAAGCCACGGCUAACUACGUG